UAUAAGUCAUUAUAAUCCGUAAUUAUGUCCCCACUGGAUGCAACAAAUGCCUGUUUAUUAUGGGUUUUAUUGGAUUUCUCUUGCCGGGCCGGG